CUGCAUUGCAGGCUCUUACCAGUCAGGCUCUGGCUAUACUCCAGGACAGAGUGGGUCCUGGGUAUAACCAAAGCCCGACUGAACACUGGCCCAG
rnacentral:pre_miRNA from 1 species